UUUCUCUUUUCAGCGGCCUUAGAUCAAAAUCUUUGUGAUGCAGAAUCUGGAGGAUUUGUGUAGUUAUAGAUUAUUUUGAGGAGAUAUAUUUUGCAACAAAAUUAUAAUGUUCCUUUCUUGACAAGAAAAUCAGCUCCACUUUAAUCUACAGUAACAAUGAUGAUUAUGCUUAAUAUAAAGACUUAACACCUGGUUCUUGUUUUUAUUGAAAAAUAUCCAAAAGAUAAUUGUUUAAAAACAGUGCAUCACCAAUACCUUGUGCAAUCUUCUAGUUCCUGGCAGAAAGGAAAACAGACCAGCAAUUUUGAAUUUAUUUCUGCAUCGUUUGUACCAAGUAAACAUGAUAUCUUCAAGAAGAAUUGACAUCUAAAAUGAAGGUUUUCACCAAGGCCGCUGUCAAAUAUUUAAGAGUUCCUUCUGAAAACUUUGUUUGUUAACUACGUAAAUACCUUUAGAAAACAUAAAUGAAGCUUGUAAAAAAAACACUUGUUAUUAAAGUGGAUUGGUCUACAAUGGGCACAUUUUCCAUAAUAACAAUGUAAGAGAUGUGACUUUUUGGAUAU